GAUGAAGAAACGCAGCGAAAUGCGAUAAGUAAUGUGAAUUGCAGAAUUCAGUGAAUCAUCGAAUCUUUGAACGCACCUUGCACUCCUUGGUAUUCCGAGGAGUACGCCUGUUCGAGUGUUAUGAAGCUCUCAAAACGCAAUUGGCUUAAAACCUGAUUGUUGUUUUGGAUUUGAACUUUGCCGUGUUAUAACGGCUGGUUUUAAAAGUAUUAGCUGGUACUAGAACGAAUUGGUUCUACUCAACGUGAUAAUUAUCUGAUCGUUGAGGACAUUCCUUUCACGAGGAAUGGCCAUAGUAAAUUCAAUGGACUGCUUCUAAUCUGGCUUUAAUUCUUUAUUGGAUUAACCACUUUUCAAAUCUGACCUCGAAUCAGGUGGGACUACCCGCUGAACUUAAGCAUAUCAAUAAGCGGAGGA
rnacentral:misc_RNA from 1 species